ACUCCUACGGGAGGCAGCAGUGGGGAAUAUUGCACAAUGGGGGAAACCCUGAUGCAGCCAUGCCGCGUGUGUGAAGAAGGCCUUCGGGUUGUAAAGCACUUUCAGUAGGGAGGAAGGUAGUGUAGUUAACACCUGCAUUAUUUGACGUUACCUACAGAAGAAGCACCGGCUAACUCCGUGCCAGCAGCCGCGGUAAUACGGAGGGUGCGAGCGUUAAUCGGAAUUACUGGGCGUAAAGCGCAUGCAGGCGGCCUGUUAAGUCAGAUGUGAAAGCCCGGGGCUUAACCUCGGAAUUGCAUUUGAAACUGGCAGGCUAGAGUCUUGUAUAGGGGGGUAGAAUUUCAGGUGUAGCGGUGAAAUGCGUAGAGAUCUGAAGGAAUACCAGUGGCGAAGGCGGCCCCCUGGACAAAGACUGACGCUCAGAUGCGAAAGCGUGGGGAGC
rnacentral:rRNA from 1 species